CAUGGCUGUCGUCAGCUCGUGUCGUGAGAUGUUGGGUUAAGUCCCGUAACGAGCGCAACCCUUGUCCUUAGUUACCAGCACGUAAUGGUGGGCACUCUAAGGAGACUGCCGGUGACAAACCGGAGGAAGGUGGGGAUGACAUCAAGUCAUCAUGGCCCUUACGGCCUGGGCUACACACGUGCUACAAUGGUCGGUACAGAGGGUUGCCAAGCCGCGAGGUGGAGCUAAUCCCACAAAACCGAUCGUAGUCCGGAUCGCAGUCUGCAACUCGACUGCGUGAAGUCGGAAUCGCUAGUAAUCGCGAAUCAGAAUGUCGCGGUGAAUACGUUCCCGGGUCUUGUACACACGCA
rnacentral:rRNA from 1 species